rnacentral:piRNA from 1 species
UGGUGACAAUAUUGGACGACACAUA